UACGGAGGGUGCAAGCGUUAUCCGGAUUCACUGGGCUUAAAGGGUGCGUAGGCGGAUAGGUAAGUCCGUGGUGAAAUCCUGCAGCUUAACUGCAGAACUGCCAUGGAUACUAUUUAUCUUGAGUGUCGUGGAGGUUAGCAGAAUAUGUCAUGUAGCGGUGAAAUGCUUAGAUAUGACAUAGAAUACCCAUUGCGAAGGCAGCUAACUAGGCGAUAAUUGACGCUGAUGCACGAAAGCGUGGGGAUCAAACAGG
rnacentral:rRNA from 1 species